UACGAAGGGGGCUAGCGUUGCUCGGAAUUACUGGGCGUAAAGCGCACGUAGGCGGAUCUUUAAGUCAGGGGUGAAAUCCUGGAGCUCAACUCCAGAACUGCCUUUGAUACUGAGGAUCUUGAGUUCGGGAGAGGUGAGUGGAACUGCGAGUGUAGAGGUGAAAUUCGUAGAUAUUCGCAAGAACACCAGUGGCGAAGGCGGCUCACUGGCCCGAUACUGACGCUGAGGCGCGAAAGCGUGGGGAGCAAACAGG
rnacentral:rRNA from 1 species